GACGAACGUUGGCGGCGUGCUUAAUACAUGCAAGUCAACUGAAGCACCGGUAGUAAUACUGGUGUGGAGGUGGCGCACGGUGAGUAACACGUAGGUAAUCUGCCUUCAGGUCUGACAUAACCCCGAGAAAUCGGGGCUAAUAGCAGAUGAUGCAGCGGCUUGACAUCAAGACAGUUGUUAAAGCUUCGGCGCCUGAAGAUGAGCCUACGUCUGAUUAGCUAGUUGGCGGAGUAAUGGCCCACCAAGGCUACGAUCAGUAACUGGUCUGAGAGGAUGAUCAGUCACACUGGAACUGAGACACGGUCCAGACUCCUACGGGAGGCAGCAGUAAGGAAUAUUGCUCAAUGGAGAAAUCCUGAAGCAGCAAACGCCGCGUGAGGGAUGAAGGGCUUUUGCUCGUAAACCUCUGUAGUGAGGGAAAAAAUUUCCAACU
rnacentral:rRNA from 1 species